rnacentral:misc_RNA from 1 species
GAUGAAGAACGUAGCGAAAUGCGAUACUUGGUGUGAAUUGCAGAAUCCCGUGAAUCAUCGAAUCUUUGAACGCACAUUGCGCCCCUUGGUAUUCCAUGGGGCAUGCCUGUUCGAGCGUCAUUUGUACCUUCAAGCUCUGCUUGGUGUUGGGUGUUUGUCUCGCCUCUGCGUGUAGACUCGCCUUAAAACAAUUGGCAGCCGGCGUAUUGAUUUCGGAGCGCAGUACAUCUCGCGCUUUGCACUCAUAACGACGACGUCCAAAAGUACAUUUUUACACUCUUGACCUCGGAUCAGGUAGGGAUACCCGCUGAACUUAAGCAUAUCAAUAAGCGGAGGA